CCUACGGGUGGCAGCAGUAGGGAAUAUUGCACAAUGGGGGAAACCCUGAAGCAGCAACGCCGCGUGGAGGAUGAAGGUUUUCGGAUUGUAAACUCCUUUUGUUAGAGAAGAUAAUGACGGUAUCUAACGACUAAGCACCGGCAAACUCCGUGCCAGCAGCCGCGGUAAUACGGGGGGUGCAAGGGUUACUCGGAAUCACUGGGCGUAAGGAGCGCGUAGGCGGGAUGGCAAGUAAGAGGUGAAUUCCUAUGGCUUAACCAUAGAACUGCAUUUGAAACUGUUAUUCUAGGGUAGGGGAGAGGUAGUUGGAAUUCAUGGUGUAGGGGUAAAAUC
rnacentral:rRNA from 1 species